GUUUGUUGAUAACAGCAGGGAGGAAUUGGACUUGGGCUUGUCCUUGUUUUUACCUUCUGUGAUAUGCAUAAAUGUUAUAUCCUCUUAAGAUUUGGAAUUUAGAUGUGGUUCUCAUCUAGUUUCCCCUUAUACUAACUUUAAUGACCUUUUCUUCAUAUUAAUGAAGGCACUAGCCCUUGGAGACACUGUAAGUUUGAACUCAUAUGGGGAAGGAGAAUAUUGGAGGUUAACCCAUCUCAAUCCACUAUCAAAGAUUUGAAUAUAAGGCUCUUGUAUUUAGUUCUGAUUAGAUUAUAUUAUAACAUAUUUUAGUUCCUAUGGAAACAUGAAGCACUUUAAGAAGGUUGUGAGCAUCUUUUCCAAAUAUGUAUUAUCUUUGUGGGGAAUGUAGGAGUAUUUAAGCUGUUGAUAACUCGUUUAGUAUAUUUAUGUCAGAAUUGGAGUGUUACACGUAUCACUCUGGUCAACUACGUUUAUUUUCUAUAAUUUUUUUUCUUCUAACUCAUAUCAAUGAAGUAGAGAGAACAAACAAGUUCUUUACUAAUUCAAAAAACUAUUGAGGGCAAUAUUUACUUUGUCCUUCAAAUCAUUUUAUAGGAUUAUACGUAGUCUUUGUUGUUUUUUCUUUGCUAGAAUUUCCAAAUACUUGUAACUGAAAUUGCUUGCAAAAACAAUCUUGUUUAACUAUUUUUAUUUUAUUGUAGGCUGCCAACAAAAAAUGCCUCUGACAACACUGAUGCUAAGAGAGAUGUUGAACUUUUAUAUGAUACAGCUCUGAUUUCUAGUGGAGAAUAGAAGAGGAAGAAAGUUUUGGAGAAUGAUUAAGUUUGUUGUUGUGCAGUCAUUGUGGCUUUUACGGAAUGACAUCUUAUUUUCCAAUAGGAACGUGAGAAGAGGUGGAGAGAAUGAUGUUGAGAGGUGGAGAGAAUGA